rnacentral:rRNA from 1 species
CCUACGGGGGACAGCAGUAAGGAAUAUUGGUCAAUGGACGAAAGUCUGAACCAGCCAUCCCGCGUGCAGGAUGAAAGCCCUAUGGGUUGUAAACUGCUUUUAGCAGAGAAGAAAAGCUUCCAUUUAUGGGGGUCUGACGGUAUCUGCAGAAUAAGCACCGGCUAACUCCGUGCCAGCAGCCGCGGUAAUACGGAGGGUGCGGGCGUUAUCCGGAAUUACUGGGUUGAAAGCGGACGAUGGCGUCAGUGGAGAAAUCUUGUCGCUUAACGAUAAAAUUGCCAAUGAGACUGGUACUCUUGAAUUGGGUUGAGGUUAGCGGAAUGUGACAUGUAGCGGUGAAAUGCAUAGAUAUGUCAUGGAACACCAAUUGCGAAGGCAGCUAACUGGGCCUUGAUUGACGCUGAGGCACGAAAGCGUGGGUAGCGAACAGGAUUAGAUACCCCAGUAGUC